AGAGUUUGAUCAUGGCUCAGGAUGAACGCUGGCGGCGUGCCUAACACAUGCAAGUCGAGCGAUUUACUUCGGUAAAGAGCGGCGGACGGGUGAGUAACGCGUGGGUAACCUGCCCUAUACACACGGAUAACAUACCGAAAGGUAUGCUAAUACGAGAUAAUAUAAGAGAUUCACAUGGAUUUCUUAUCAAAGCUGAGGCGGUAUAGGAUGGACCCGCGUCUGAUUAGCUAGUUGGUAAGGUAACGGCUUACCAAGGCGACGAUCAGUAGCCGACCUGAGAGGGUGAUCGGCCACAUUGGAACUGAGACACGGUCCAAACUCCUACGGGAGGCAGCAGUGGGGAAUAUUGCACAAUGGGCGAAAGCCUGAUGCAGCAACGCCGCGUGAGUGAUGAAGGCCUUCGGGUCGUAAAACUCUGUCCUCAAGGAAGAUAAUGACGGUACUUGAGGAGGAAGCCCCGGCUAACUACGUGCCAGCAGCCGCGGUAAUACGUAGGGGGCUAGCGUUAUCCGGAUUUACUGGGCGUAAAGGGUGCGUAGGUGGUCUCUUAAGUCAGGAGUGAAAGGCUACGGCUUAACCGUAGUAAGCUCUUGAAACUGGGAGACUUGAGUGCAGGAGAGGAAAGUGGGAUUCCUAGUGUAGCGGUGAAAUGCGUAGAUAUUAGGAGGAACACCAGUAGCGAAGGCGGCUUUCUGGACUGUAACUGACACUGAGGCACGAAAGCGUGGGGAGCAAACAGGAUUAGAUACCCUGGUAGUCCACGCCGUAAACGAUGAGUACUAGGUGUCGGGGGUUACCCCCCUCGGUGCCGCAGCUAACGCAUUAAGUACUCCGCCUGGGGAGUACGCUCGCAAGAGUGAAACUCAAAGGAAUUGACGG
rnacentral:rRNA from 1 species